AUUGAACGCUGGCGGCAGGCCUAACACAUGCAAGUCGAACGAGUGGCGGACGGGUGAGUAAUGUCUGGCAAACUGCCUGAUGGAGGGGGAUAACUACUGGAAACGGUAGCUAAUACCGCAUACCAUCGGAUGUCCCCAGAUUGGCUUAGCUAGUGGGUGGGGUAAAGGCGCACCUAGGCGACGAUCCCUAGCUGGUCUGAGAGGAUGACCAGCAACACUGGAACGGGGACACGGUCCAGACUCCUACGGGAGGCAGGGUUGGGGAAUAUUGCACAAUGGGCGCAAGCCAGAUGCAGCCAUGCCGCGUGUAUGAAGAAGGCCUUCGGGUUGUAGAGUACUUUCAGCGGGGAGGCGUUACCCGCAGAAGAAGCACCGGCUAACUCCGUGCCAGCAGCCGCGGUAAUUC
rnacentral:rRNA from 1 species